rnacentral:miRNA from 1 species
CUUGUGUAUUUUCUUAUUUC